CACAUGUUAAUUGCAUGCACUCUUUUGGGUUUGGCUUUUCUUAUUCAACAAUAUUUCAGUGGAAAUGCCUCCAAGUUAAACAGAUGUUACAUUUUAGUCUUGCCUCUGGUAUUUAUUAAUUGCAUGUCCUUGGGUAGGUUAAGUAACCUUUCUGGCACAGAUUUCCCCACCUAAACAUGAGGAUAAUUAUUCUUUUCUCUAAGGACUGUUGUGAGAACCAAAUUAUAUCAUAAAUAUAGCUCUAAACCAGUGUUACUUGAUUUCAUGCCCAGUACAGGGAGAGCAAUCCCUUUUCCUUUUUUGGCAGUCAUGACCUUUGGUCCAGGAAUAUGUAACUCAGCAAAUGCCUGAGCACCUGCUGAGGGGCCAUGAGGGGCCAUGAGGGAACCCUGCUUUGGUUCAGAGCAACAGUUUGGGAGCCCCAUUUGUCUGCUUCUGAAUCCAUGCACCAUCACUUUGUAGUUACGUUCAUUACCUUGGACAGGCUUCUUAGCCUCUCUGUGCAUCAGUCGCCUCAUCUUCAAAAUGGACAUAAUAACUACCUGUUGCACCUAUCAUGGGUGUAAAUGACAUGAUGCAUGUGGCGCACUUGGAAGAGUGACAAGCACACUGAAAUAGGGACAGGCAAGUAAGGUCUGGGCGUGGGUCUCGAAGUCAAUAGGCUUAUCUUUGCCAUUUGCUGGCUGUGUGAUUUUGGGGGUUAUCGUGAGCUGUUUAAUUCCCAUCUUCAUCUGGAAAAUGAGGAUAUUAACACCCACCUUAAAGCAUUGUUUGAGAGAAAUAUAAGGUAAGGAGUGGUCAGUGGUGGCAGCCUGUGCAUUGUGUAUUCAGUGCAGGAUGCUUCCCUCCACCCUCGCUGCAUAUGGUCCAGCCUAUGACUGCAUGUGCUUUGGUCACCCGAGAAUUCUAAUCAUCGUUCAUAGUUCUCACAAUUCCAGACUUGGACCUGCUAGUGAACUUCCAGAGGGCAUGCUCUCCAUGAGUUGGCGCAUGCCUGUGUCCUGACUGUUCUCUUCAAGUGUUCCAUGAGCUAUCCCGGGGGUGCUGGGGUCAUGGUCUGUUCUCAGUAGCCUUUGUUUCCUUGUUUUGUUUCCUUCCCGUGUGUGCAAACAUGCAUUUUGUUUUAAAUUUCUAGAAUUUUUCAAGGGCAAGUUUAUCUUUCUCUGUACAUUACAGAUUUACUGCUGGUCAGGCAAGCACAGGAGGGACACUAUGAAGUGUGUUUGUGGUUAGAAAACAGAGAAAUUGGACCAAGAUGAGCCUUGCAGAUGCAUAUUGAUAUCAACUGGCUUUCUUGCCUUCAUUGAAUGUUGCAAUUCUCCGAGGACAUCUCACUUUCCUUCUCAGAGCUCUGAGGGGGAGCUCUCCCACCAUCCCCCAAAGCAAAGCAAGACAAAAAGUGCAUAGGUUUUCAGGCAGUCAUCUCUUUCAACAGAAUGAUUCAAGGGAAGGUAUCACUACAUGGAUUUGCCCAUCUCUUCAUGCUGAGAUGUGCUUGCUUCUGUUAGCAAUACAGGGAUUUACUGAGUUAUCUUUAUGAGCCUAUACUGCAAACUGUUAAAAAAAAACCAACAAACAAAAAAACCCCACCCCCAAACCUUUCCUCUUAUACUGCAUUGCACACAGGCCUAUGGAAUUGGUGGGUGUUUUUUAUUUUGUGAGUUAAGUAUGGUUCCGCAGCACCCCCUAGUGUCUAUAUUUGGAAACUGAGAUGUAAAUGAUUCUUGGGACUUCAAAGCAGGAAACCUAUAGAAAUACAUAUUCACAUAUUUUUUCUUUUUAGUACCUAAUAAUAUGAACCACCCUGAUACUCCCAAGUAUGUUUAAUUAUAUACAACUCUUUAAUCACCUCAUUACUUUGAUUUUUCUUUGGGCAAUCCAACUGAACCAAUAGAAACAACCGGACCUCUCUGCUUUGGCCUCAGGCGUCACUGGAAUGUUUCAUCUGGGCCACAGUUCUGCCUGUCUCCACUGAAGCAGCACAGCACCAAGAAGAGGUGCCCAGUUCUACUCUUUCAUUAAAUUUCAUUAAAGAAGAUUCUGCCAUUCAGCCACUGGACAAUAGCCUCAACCCAAUCGUGAGAAAACAUCAGAUACACCUAAACUGUGGGGGAUUCUGCAAAAUGAAAUAUGAGUACUCUUCAACAGCAUCAGGAUCAUGAAGGACAAGAAAACACUGAGGAAAAUGUGACAGAUUGGAGGAGACUAAAGGAAUAUGACAACUAAAUUCUCUAUGGUGCCUUGGAUUGGGUCCUGGAAACGAAGCAAAACAAAACAAAAUCAGUAGGACAAAGUGGUGGAAUGGAUCGUGGAUAAGCACUGUUGAAAGUACUUCCAGCAGCAGAAAAGUAAAAUGCUGUGCAAGCUGUCAGCUGACAUGUUUUGUGGGAAUAGAGCCACCUAUCCAUUGUGAAGAAUAUCACUUGUUUGAUGAAAUACUGCAAAAUGAAGACAUGGGCCAUCCACAGGAAUAUGUAACAUUAAUUUUUAGUUUUUUAAAAAAAUUUUUUAAUGUUUUUAUUUAUUUUUGGGAGAGAGAGAGAGACACAC